rnacentral:rRNA from 1 species
AUGGUGUCGCCUGUUGCUCCCAUCGUCGGCAAUAUACUAACACUUAUCACUUUGCUACAACAUAUGUCACAUCAAAAUCAUAGCCUCCAAGGCAAGAUCGUCGGUAAAUUCGGCUCACUAAGGGUUGAGGUGGAGUCGGCCGAAUGCAACAUGGCGAACUACAAGGACGAUGAUGAGUCGAUGCUGGAGAUGCAGGAGUUGCUUCUAGAUAUUCAGGACUACCUUUGCGAUCUUCAUAUUCCAGAGAAAUUGGACGCCCUUUUCCUGGUUGCGACGGGGACUGAUUCCCGUGCUGAAAAUAUUGGCCGCAUCGAUUCUUUCCUAGCGAGCAUCGAUAACGUCAACAAGCGGCGAGAUGAGAGAGCUAAAGAAGCUGCAUCCAAGCCCACGAUUCUUACAUCAAUGGCAUCCAGAUCUAAGGCAGCACCUACUCUUUAUGUUCCAGAGAAAGAUCUCGAGGGCUUCACCAACAGCAAAAAAGAGUUCAUGGAUCUGAUCUCACUAGCAAAGGUAGGGCAGCUGAGGCUGAUCUCCAUUGUGGGAUGUAACGGCUUGGGAAAGACCGCCCUAGCAAGGGCGGUCUAUGACGACGUUGGUCUGCCAUCUCCAGCCACACCAAAAAACCUAGGAGAGAGUGAUAACCAGCCACCAGAGCCACUCGAAGAAAAAACCACAAAAGAGAUAUUCGAUUGCAGAGCUUGGGUUGUGGCGUCGACGUUUAACGACAUGGAGGCCCUUCUAAAUGAGGUUCUAAAAGAAUUUUGUCCCAACGCAGCCGGUGCAAACACCUCCAAAGCUUUAAACGACUACCUUGCUGAUAAAAGGUACAUGGUCGUUAUUGAUGAUCUGCAGUCAGACCGUGUACGAUGGAAGGAUAUAAAACAUGUGUUCCCUGAAAAUAACAAAGGCAGCAGAGUUAUUGUAACCACGAGUGUUCAUUCCAUCGCCAGGGACUACAGCUCUGGCUGUUACUAUGUGUACCCAAUGCAAUGCCUUAGUGAAGCAAAUUCAGAGAGCCUAUUCUGGAAGAAAGUUUUAGCCCCCAACACUAGGGGUCCUACUGUUCCCGAGGUGGAACGGUCAAAAAUUAUCUUGGCUAAAUGUGACGGUUUGCCGCUGGCUCUGGUUAGUGCAUGUAAUUAUCCAUGUCGGGCGCACAAAGACCAAUCUCUGUGUGAAGAUCGGUACCGUGGUAUGUGCCACGAACUUGAUAAUAUUGUGGCGAGCAAUGAGAUAGACUUUGAUGACAUGAAAAGAAUGUUUGUCCAAUGUUACAACAACCUGACUGACUAUGAUCACAAGAACUGCUUGCUUUAUUUGAGCAUAUACCCCAGGGGUCAUGAAAUUAACAGUAAGAGUGCAGUCAGAAAAUUAAAAGGCGAAGAAUUGGUUGCCGGAGAUGCCCUUAAAUGUUGGAAGAGAUUGAUUGACAAUAGUCUGAUUGAGCCUGCACCGAUUCGCAACAAUUGCAGUGUUGCCAAGAGGUGUAAAGUUCAGGGUAUGAUGAGGGAGUUUACCAUCAACAAGUCCAUCUCAAGAAACUUGGUCACUCUAGUUGAAGGGGACGAGGUCCGGCGUAUCCAACCUCACAGGACUGUCCGGCGACUCAGUGUUCGAUCCAGCUCCAGCAACGAAGGAGGAAGCAAUCUGAUUCCACAUGAAAUUGAAACUAAAAUGUCAACUGUCAGGUCGUUAACGGUCUUCACAAGUAACCAUCCGGGUGAGACAUAUGUCAAUGACAUCAAUUUCAGGAGCUGCAAGAUGAUGCGGGUCUUGGAUCUCGAAGGUUGCAAGGGACUUAGUUCUACUGUUGUCGAUGUCAUAUGUGAACUGCUGUUUCUGAACUAUCUUAGCCUCAGGAAAACUGAUGUGAACGAGCUUCCCACAAAAAUGAAGAAGCUAGAGCGUUUAGAGACGCUGGACAUUCGACAGACAAGGGUGGCAAUAUUGCCUGUGGAAGUCAUCAUGAUGAAAGAUUUAGCUCGGCUUUUUGGCGAGUUUCAGCUACCAGCGUUAGCUGACGCAGAAAAAGAAGCUCUUACAAACUUCCUCAAGCAGUAUAGUAAACUGCAUACUCUUGCUGGCAUCGUUAUCAACAAUACACAAGGUUUUGAGAUUAUACAGCACGCAAAAAAUCUGAAGAAGGUUAGAAUAUGUGGCAACAAGGAUGAUAGUUUUGCUGCUUCCGCCCCUACCGGCUCCAAGCUCACAUCUUUCUUAAGCAAGAAGAAGAAUAAGAAUACUGAUGUUGCUGCUACUUCCGCCCCAAUAUCCCCACCUUCCGUCCGUAGGGAUAAGACCCCCUUUUGGUCUGGAAUUUUUUCCAAAGCUGCAAAGCCGACCUCCAAAGCAUGUUAUAUCAACAAUAAGUUGGUAGAGCAGACCCCGCCAAGUACCAGGCCCAAUGGUGAGUGGGUCGCCGGCGCCGCCACGCAGAGGGAAUCUAAAAGGGCUAAAAUAUCACCUGGAGUUUUGGCCUCCUUGGUCUUCUCUCUUCAGAAGCGUUCAACCGCUCUGCACUCUAUAUCCAUUGACUCCGCUGGUAUCAGCAACUUCUUUCUUGCUUCUAAUUCAAAGCCUCGCAUUGCCAAAUCCAUCAAACUACGGGGACCAUUGACAAGUCUGACACCUGGUACACUGAAGGACCUCCGUAAUCUCAGAAAACUGCACCUCAUCGAAACCGGUCUCAGCAGCCAAAUAUUGGUGGAAGCCCUGCAAAGCUUGGAAUGCUUGGAAUAUCUCAAGCUCGGCGAGGAGGAUCGCUCUGGAGCUUGGAACGGGGACUUCUCAGUGCAAAGUGGUGGAUUCUCAGCCCUCCGGGACCUGUGUUUCGAGGGUGCAAAGCAGUAUCCACGGUUGAAGAUCGCACAAGGAGCCAUGCACGUCCUCACCUCUCUUCAGCUGCUUUGUGAGAAAUCUCCGCCUCUGAUGGGAGUUGACGGCAUAGAGCAUCUUACAUGUCUCGACGAGGUCAUACUCCACUAUUCUGCAGAUGAUGCAACGGUACAAGCGUGGAAAGAAGCAGCAAGCGAGCACACCAACAAGCCGUGUGUGAAGAAGCAACCAAAUGCAGAUGAACCUAUCAACAAUACAACAUAA